GAUGAACGCUGGCGGCGUGCUUAACACAUGCAAGUCGAACGGUGAACGAGGGAGCUUGCUCCCUCCGGAUCAGUGGCGAACGGGUGAGUAACACGUGAGCAAUCUGCCCCGAACUCUGGGAUAAGCGCUGGAAACGGCGUCUAAUACCGGAUACGACGCGCGAAGGCAUCUUCUGCGCGUGGAAAGAAUUUCGGUUCGGGAUGAGCUCGCGGCCUAUCAGCUAGUUGGUGAGGUAACGGCUCACCAAGGCGACGACGGGUAGCCGGCCCUGAGAGGGUGACCGGCCACACUGGGACUGAGACACGGCCCAGACUCCUACGGGAGGCAGCAGUGGGGAAUAUUGCACAAUGGGCGCAAGCCUGAUGCAGCAACGCCGCGUGAGGGACGACGGCCUUCGGGUUGUAAACCUCUUUUAGUAGGGAAGAAGCGAAAGUGACGGUACCUGCAGAAAAAGCACCGGCUAACUACGUGCCAGCCGCCGCUGUAAAAC
rnacentral:rRNA from 1 species